rnacentral:rRNA from 1 species
GACGAGCUCUCCAAACGUUAUUCGGUAUCACUGGGCUUAAAGAGUUCGUAGGCGGUCUGGUAGGUGAGGUGUGAAAUCCCCCGGCUCAACCGGGGAACUGCGCUUCAAACCGCCGGACUUGAGGGAGACAGAGGUGGGCGGAACAGAUGGUGGAGCGGUGAAAUGCGUUGAUAUCAUCUGGAACACCGGUGGCGAAAGCGGCCCACUGGGUCUCAUCUGACGCUGAGGGACGAAAGCUAGGGUAGCGAACGGG